rnacentral:sRNA from 1 species
GGGUUACUCCUUGGCGCUUGCGCGCUGUUUUGAUGAAGAUUCGCACCUCUAUCAAAACGGGUAACCCCGCCUCUUGGCAAGGCCUUACUGUCAGAUCAAGUCUGAACUUCUACAGCUGAUGCCCUGGUACGCACCUGGCAAAGCCAAGCCGCCGGUCACUUCUGUCCCGACGGCUUUUUUUCUUCGUGGAUUUUGGUGGAUGUCGCUU